GAAACAAAACAUGGCUAAACAACAGAACCAGAGGACGAUGAAGAAAUCCUGAGCACGUUUGAAAAGUUUGUUCGGAAUCAGGGACUGGUUGACUGGCCCGUGGCGUUUGAGGAGAAUAUAAGAUAUAUCAUCCCACUUCAAACAUUACAGUCAUCCCAGACAGAUAUAUGACUACUUUAAAAGUAAACGUUGCCAUUCCCAGUGGACGUCACCAUGUCCUUCUCCAAGAGCAUAGAGGAGCUAUAUUCCAAGAUAAAACUACAUGCAUCCAUAAUGUCACAAGAACAGAGCAAAAACAAGAAUGCGGAGUCAGUGUUUGAUGACAUGAAUAAAUAUAAAAUGUAUGUGCAAAGAGCACAUCGAAUCAUCAAAGAGCAGAGUGAGGCAGUGUCGCGGAGCUUGGACAUCAAGG